UUAGCUCAACGGUAGAGCACUUGCCUAGCAUGAGCAAGGUCCUGGGUUCAAUUCCUAGA
rnacentral:tRNA from 1 species